GAGGGCGUGGCCAGGAAAAGGAUGCGCUGGGUCGCUGAACCACCGGCUUGUGUGAUAAAGCUAUGUGACAUUUUAGAUACAUGGACAACAGAAAGACGGAAUUGGACAAAGAAUGAAAAUGCAGGGAAGAAAUAAAUCAGCAAACAAAACACUGAACGUGAAAUUGGAAAGUGGUUGUAAUGGGAAGGAUGAAGAUGUCCCAAAGGAAGUAACACUGGCAACAACUUUCACAUUAAAGAAACUUUUGGGGAAAUUUUACAAAUUUAAAUACAAAGGGUAAAACACUGGAAGCGAUCCAUACUUAGAAAGGAAUAUGACAAUUCACUAAAGCAAAGCAAGAUGCUUACUUCAUAUCAUAAAUUACAUGAUUUAUGUGCUAAGAAGCUGUUGUGAUUUUCAAGAAUCUCGAGGAAGCUCCCAAUAGCUAUCUCAUUCUGCCACAACAAAGCAGAUAUCUCUUAAGUGCUUACUAAGAAGCCCAUGUGACUUUCACAUCUGCCUAUGCACCUGUCUGCAACUACCCCAGAGUAUAAUAGACUGUUCUCUUCCACCUUUUAAAUCUCAUUCAUGCAAGUGCCUCCUACUGGAAAACUGUAAUCCAGAAUCAUUUCGGGGAGAGGAUUCUGGGAAACUGUUCACUGGCUUCCCUUCUGUGAUACAAAAAGAGGAUCUUAAAGCAGCUUGGUCGUUGUGGUAGGCAGAAAAAUUGCCUUCCAGAGAUGUUCGAUCCCUGCAACCUGUGAAUAUAUUACUUUAUAUGCGAACAGAAACUUCAGAGAUGGUAUUAAGUUUACUUUAAAAAUAGAGAAAACAUCCUGGAUUAUUCACAUGAUCCUAGUGUGAUCACAUGUGUCCUUAUUAAAACUGGAAGAGGGAGACAGAAGACUGAGUCAGAGAGAUGCAAGAAAAUUCAAAGUGUGAGAGGGACUCCUACCCACCAUUGCUGGUGUGAAAGAUAGAGAAAAGGGGCCAGAAGCCAAGGCAUGGAGGCAGCAUCUACAAGCUAGAUAUCACCUUCAUCUGACAGCCUCAAAGGAAACAGGAAUGCUAGUGCUACAAUUGCAACAACCUGAAUGUACAAUAAAGCAAUUCUCGACCGGGCACAGUGGCUCAUGCUUGUAAUCCCGGCACUUUGGGAGGUCGAAGCAGGCGGAUCACCUGAGGUUGGGAGUUCGAGACCAGCCUGGCCAACAUGGAGAAACCCAUCUCUACUAAAAAUACAAAAUUAGCUGGGCGUGGUGGUGCACACCUGUAAACCCAGCUACUCGGGAGCCUGAGGCAGGAGAAUUGCUUGAACCCGGGAGGCAGAGAUUGUGGUGAGCCAAAAUCUUGCCGUUGCAUUCCACCCUGGGCAACAAGAGCAAAACUUCAUCUCAAAACAAAAAAAAAACAAAACAAAACAAAACAAAAAAACCAAUUCUCACUUAGAGCCUUUAGAAAGGAACAGAGCUCUACUGACUCCUUCAUUUCUGCUUGGUAUUAGAGACAGACUUGUAACUCCUUCAGCUCCUGCGGUAUCUUCAGCUUCAUCUUCUCUGACUGUUGGGCCAGGUGUGUGUUUAGCUUCCCGAUGAAGGACAUUGACUUCUCUUGCACUUCAUCUGCAUCAUCCAAGUUGAAGGUUUAGAGGUCGCGGGAAACUGAUGUGGAUUUCUGCUUAUCUUUGGGAAUUCUGGUUAUCCCUUUUCUCCACCAUUUUGCAGGCAUCUUUCCUUCCUUACUGCCUGUCCUGCUGUCUUCAGAGUAAACACAAGACUCAGAAGUAAUGGGAAAAUAUAGAUUUCUUUACCACUUCCUACAAUAGCAUAUAAUCAAAUAAUGCCUAUAAUAAAUGCUUUAUUCUAUAUUACUUGUAGUGGUUCUGUUGCAAUUGUGAUACAUGUCUGGUUUCAUAAUGUUUCCAGAUAGUCUCUUACAUCUUAUCAGCCUGAACAAUAUUAUUGCCUGCAUAGAUUCCCCACAUGGCAAAUCUACAUGCAGUUGUCCCAGAAAAUAAAAGCUGUCCCAGACAGCCUUUCCAACUUUUAUCUUCUGACAAUAUUAUCUCACAACAACAGAUUACACCUUAGCUACUCCCUUAAAUCACAUUUUGCCCCUCCCAUCUUCUUCACAUCAGUGUUAUGCUUUAUUGUGCUCGGUGAUAUAAUUUGGAAUUUGUAGCUAUAGACAACAUUUCUGUCUUUGCCAAGCAGUUAAUUAAGGUGUUACUAUAACCUCACUGCAAAUGUAAUCUAAAGGAUUAAAGUAUGACUCAAACUUACCUAUCUCAAGAUAGUCAGAUAAGCUAUAUUUUGGGAAACUAACAUUGAAUGAGCUUCUACAUUAUGCUUAUCACAUCCUCUCAUUUACUACUAAAAACCUUGCAUGAUUAAUAUAGUUUUGCCUAUUUCACAAAUGAAAAAACUGAGGCACAGAGAUGUUACUAUGAAAACAAUGACUCUAAUGUACGUAACUGUGAAUGGACUUGAUUUGGUUUCUUCCUGUAGAAAGCAUGUCAAUGGGCUCUCCCAUAUACUUUUUCGAUUUCUCUCCCCUGCUCAUCACACAUUUUAACUCUGUCCCUGACUAUACAUUGGCCUUAUUCUCAUCAGCUGCAGAUGUGGUUUUCCCACAAGACUGUGGAGUUUCUGGCAACAACUAGGCUUCAUAUGUUCCCAGUUGAACAACUCCAAUAGAAAAAUAACUUUCUUCUGAAAGUCUUCCAGGGGAG
rnacentral:lncRNA from 1 species